UUCAUGUCUUUUGUAUUAAAGAAUUAAAUGGAUGAAAUAUGAAGUUUUAUUAAAAGAAAAAGGGGUGAAAAGAACAAAGUUUUGUCCAUCUUUGUUCAUCAUAGCUGAAAGUUAGAGAAGAGAAAGGAGAGGAGAAAGCUCUUGAGUAUUUGGUCAUUAGGAGGAGGAAAAUUGAAGGCGGUUCGUGUGUGGAUCUCGUCAGCAUAUCGUCGCAAACAAGUAAUCCCCAACCAUAGUGGGCUUGGAGCUGUGAGGGAAUUCAAAGUGGCCACCCGUUCUGAAAGUUUGAUUUUCUUCUGGUGAACUGGACAUUCUUUUAAUUACGUUUGAGGUUUUGGGCUUUAAAAUGUAAUAAGGCCGCUUAUUUAUUUUUGAUGGUUUUUAAUAUGUAUUACUAAGAUAGGUAAUACUUAUUUUAACUGUUGAAAUUGGAUAGCUUUAGGGCGCGUUUUCAAAAACAACAGUUGAUUUCAAAAUAACACGACAACAAGCAAAGCUUCCGCAAUGAAAGUAUUUUCCAAAAUUAA